GAAUAAAGUACAGCACUACUGUGUGGAAUCUAACCCAUUGAUUUUUUUUUUUUAAGGUGGAGAAAAGAAUAAAGAAACCCAUAUUUCUUGAACUUCUCCUCUGAACCAAAUACAGCCUUUAGAAUUUCCAGAUAACCAUCUCAACAAAAAGUUGAAGAGAGCUAGCAGUGAAAAAGAGAAAGCAAUAGUUAAAAGAGAAUCAAGAACAAAGCAAAAGGACUGUACCUACCAUCAAAUUCAUGAUCCUCUUCUGGAAAAUGUACUCACCCAGCUACCUCUUGGUCUGCAUCCUUGCUGCUGCUGGCUUCAGGUAAUGAUAUUUACCCAGCUCAUUGAAAUGUCACACUUAGGACUGA
rnacentral:lncRNA from 1 species